rnacentral:rRNA from 1 species
GACGAACGCUGGCGGCGUGCCUAAUACAUGCAAGUCGAGCGGACUUGACAGAGCUUGCUCUGUUCAAGUUAGCGGCGGACGGGUGAGUAACACGUGGGCAACCUGCCCUGCAGAUUGGGAUAACUCCGGGAAACCGGGGCUAAUACCGAAUAACAUUGAAAACCUCAUGGUUUUCUUUUAAAAGGCGGCUUCGGCUGUCACUGCAGGAUGGGCCCGCGGCGCAUUAGCUAGUUGGUGAGGUAACGGCUCACCAAGGCGACGAUGCGUAGCCGACCUGAGAGGGUGAUCGGCCACACUGGGACUGAGACACGGCCCAGACUCCUACGGGAGGCAGCAGUAGGGAAUCUUCCGCAAUGGACGAAAGUCUGACGGAGCAACGCCGCGUGAGUGAAGAAGGUUUUCGGAUCGUAAAACUCUGUUGUUAGGGAAGAACAAGUACCGGAGUAACUGCCGGUACCUUGACGGUACCUGACCAGAAAGCCACGGCUAACUACGUGCCAGCCGCCGCGGUAAUAC